AAAUAGCGAUCUUUGAUUCAACAAUGGAUUCUUAUUAUUUUUUAUUACAUUUAAAAGAUUUUAGAAACAGAAAAGAUACGACGCAUUUAAAAAAGUCAAAGAAAAAACAGAAUUGAUCACCCACUACAAAGUACAAAUCCAAAUUGGAAUGACAACGAAAUCUCUGGAGAAUAAUCGAAUUUCAACAACGAAAAUUAUAUUGAAAAUUUAGAUUUCAGAAUACGGGAUCACAACCAAAAUAGAAACAGAACGUCUUCGAGGUCAAGAGGUCAUAUUUGCGCAAAAUUGUGAAAACACACAAUACUUAUUUCAAAUUUUAAAUUUGAAUCAUUUGCAUCAAGACGUUUAACACAGCUACAACCUGGAUGAUUGAGAAAAGAAAGAAAAUUUGGAAACCUUAAUCGCGUAGAAAGAAUAAGAAACAUGAAACGACAAAUUAAAACAGAAAAUAAUAAAAGAUUAAAAAAACAACCUAAUACUUGAAGAAACCAUCCACGAACGAACACUACGAACACCACCUAAGAUAGUUCCUUCCAAGGAAUCAUGAAGACGAAGAUCAAAACUUGGAAAAACCUCUUAUUCGCAAAAAGAUUGAAUGGAAUAAUCAAUGAUCCAAUCCACUUUUUAAGAUUAUAGGAGAUCUAUAAAUUAGACCUUCCUAUUUCACGCUCUUCUUCGGCAAUCUAUUAAAUUUUAAGUAAUACAAAAGCUACAUUGUUCACAGAAUCGACAAAAAGGUAGAAACUUUAUGCUCAUGCCUACAUGCAAACAGAUGACAUCUUUGAAGGAACACGAAAGAAGAUCAGUUAGUGCAUGCGCGAGACGAGACCAAAUGUUUAGCGUUAGCACCUGCUUAAGUCAGCAAGCCAGUGCAAAAACGAAAAACAUCUUUCAUUCCUUUCAUGAAAUAACGAUAAUGCAAAACAAAUAAAUAGAAUGUUUUAAUGA